rnacentral:lncRNA from 1 species
GAUUUAGAGUUAAGGGGUGGGGUUUAGGAUUUAGGGUUUAGAGGUGGAGUUUAGGGUUUAGGGUUUAGAGUUAAGGGGUGGAGUUUAGGAUUUAGGGUUUAGAGUUUAGAAUUUAGGGUUUAGAGUUUAGGGGUGGGAUUUAGAGUUUAGGGUUUAGAGUUAAGGGGUGGAGUUUAGGAUUUAGGGUUUAGGGUUUAGGAUUUAGGGUUUAGAGUUUAGGGUUUAGAGUUUAGGUUUUAGAGUUUACGUUUUAGGAUUUAGAAUUGGGAAGUGGGGUUUUGGGAUAAGAUUUCAAAUUUUGAAAAAUAAAAAAAUUUAAAUUUUUCAAAAGAUAAAAUGCUAUUUUGGUCAUUUUAGUUCAUGAAAACUAUUUUUGUGACAUAAAUUUAGAAAUGUGUUAUUUCGGAGAUUUGUCCAAAUAUCUUUCACACACAGUUUCGAUCAGUGUGAAAUUCUAAAGUUUCUUCUGGAUAAUAAUUGAUUAACAUUUUUCAUCAGCCUUCUGUGACUAUUCGUCAAUAAAACUGUUCAUUUUUAUUUUUUUAUGAGAAGUAUAAACAUGUUUGUU